GGGGGUGGGCUCCCAGGUGCUCUCUCUUUAAAAGGCCGGCGGAAGCCGCGCGCUCGGCCGCACCUGCAGAGCAAACUUGGCGGGCAGGGCUCCCGCCUUCCCGAGUGCGGCGGCAGCAGAGUGGGCGUCGGGCUGAGCGGCUGCGGUCCCCUCGCCCCCUCGUGCUCCCGGCGCCCGCCCCCUCCCGCAGCCUCCCCUCUCGGCGUCUUCCUCGCUUGCUCGCUCGCUCGCUCUCCAGCGCGCUCUCAAGCUCGCUCUCCUUCUUUCCUGCUGCCGUGCAGCUGCCGCGGCGCCGCCGGGUGCCCGCAUCUCAGCCGGCUGAGCUCGCUGCUCGGCUCACGCUCCACUCCCUUCCUAGCCCGGAGCCCUCGGCCGGACCCCGCGCCCCGGAGCCGCCUCCUCUCUCCCUCCGGCUCGGACGUCGGGCUCCGCGGCGGACGGAGCAAGGCUGCCCGCCGCUCCCUACCUCGCUGGCUCGCUCUCGCCGGAGCAGCAGCCGACCGCCGCGCGAUUGGAGGCGGCUCGGGCCGGGCGGCCGCCAGCUCCUCCCCGCUGCGUCCCGGACUCCGGGCGGCUCCGCGCCGGGCUCGGACCGCAGCGUCAGAGCCGCCCGCCGCGGCCCGGGCUCCGGCCACCGCGAAAAGCCAGCCUCCGGCCGCCGCCUCCCUGCGCCCCCGGCGCGGGCGGGUGCGCCACCGAGCCCUCGCCGGCGCGCGGUUGGUAAGAGGAGAGCAUUGGAGCUGUUUUCUCCUUGAUGCCAAGAUCUGCCAAGCUAGGAGCACUCUCCUGCUUUCACAAUCAUCCACCAAGAACAGGCCUGCAGGACGUGGGGACCAAGCCCAGAGCUUUGCUGCACCCCAGGCACUCCCUGCCGUCUGGGAGCAUGGCCUGUGCCCGUAACUGAGCGUUGCCUGCGGGGCGAGGACCACCAGUAUGGUUCAGCCUGUUGGCUGCCAUCAGCCGCCCUGCUGCUGAAGCUGUGCUGGAGAGACUUGUGGGGGCUGCUCUGCCCCUGCUCCCCCAGGCUGUGGGCCAGGGGCCCACCACGGCUAGGAGGGAGGCCUGCCGUUCAUGGAUCUCUAGGGAAUUCCGAGAUGCCUGGGAAGAGGGGCUGGGGCUGGCAGUGGGCCCGGCUGCUCCUUUGCCUGCUCCUCAGCCUGUCUGGGCCCUGGGUGCCUUCCUCCCUGGGGAAGCCCAAAGGCCACCCUCAAAUGAAUUCCAUCCGCAUAGAUGGUGACAUCACUCUGGGAGGCCUGUUCCCGGUGCACGGCCGGGGCUCAGAGGGCAAGGCCUGCGGAGAACUCAAGAAGGAAAAGGGCAUCCACCGGCUGGAGGCCAUGCUCUUUGCUCUAGAUCGCAUUAACAAUGACCCGGACCUGCUGCCCAACAUCACGUUGGGCGCCCGCAUACUGGACACCUGCUCCAGGGACACCCAUGCCCUGGAGCAGUCGCUGACCUUUGUGCAGGCGCUCAUUGAGAAGGAUGGCACGGAGGUCCGCUGUGGCAGCGGCGGCCCGCCCAUCAUCACUAAACCUGAGCGCGUGGUGGGUGUCAUCGGUGCUUCAGGGAGUUCGGUCUCCAUCAUGGUGGCCAACAUCCUUCGCCUCUUCAAGAUCCCCCAGAUCAGCUACGCCUCCACAGCCCCCGACCUGAGUGACAACAGCCGCUACGACUUCUUCUCCCGCGUGGUGCCCUCAGACACGUACCAGGCCCAGGCCAUGGUGGACAUCGUCCGUGCCCUCAAGUGGAACUACGUGUCCACGCUAGCCUCAGAGGGCAGCUACGGUGAGAGCGGCGUGGAGGCCUUCAUCCAGAAGUCCCGUGAGGACGGGGGUGUGUGCAUUGCCCAGUCGGUCAAGAUACCACGGGAACCCAAGCCUGGGGAGUUUGACAAGAUCAUCCGGCGCCUCCUGGAGACCUCGAACGCCAGGGCGGUCAUCAUCUUUGCCAAUGAGGAUGAUAUCAGGCGUGUGCUGGAGGCGGCCCGGAAGGCCAACCAGACCGGCCACUUCUUCUGGAUGGGCUCAGACAGCUGGGGCUCCAAGAUCGCCCCUGUGCUGCACCUGGAGGAGGUGGCCGAGGGUGCCGUCACUAUCCUCCCCAAGAGGAUGUCCGUGCGAGGCUUCGACCGCUACUUCUCCAGCCGCACGCUGGACAACAACCGGCGCAACAUCUGGUUUGCUGAGUUCUGGGAGGACAACUUCCAUUGCAAGUUGAGCCGCCACGCGCUCAAGAAAGGCAGCCAUGUCAAGAAGUGCACCAACCGCGAGCGCAUUGGGCAGGACUCAGCGUACGAGCAGGAGGGGAAGGUGCAGUUUGUGAUUGACGCCGUGUACGCCAUGGGCCACGCGCUGCACGCCAUGCACCGUGACCUGUGUCCGGGCCGCGUGGGGCUCUGCCCGCGCAUGGACCCUGUGGACGGCACCCAGCUGCUCAAGUACAUCCGCAGCGUCAAUUUCUCAGGCAUCGCGGGGAACCCUGUGACCUUCAAUGAGAACGGAGACGCACCUGGGCGCUAUGACAUCUACCAGUACCAGCUGCACAACGGCUCUGCCGAGUACAAGGUCAUCGGCUCCUGGACUGACCACCUGCACCUCAGAAUAGAGCGGAUGCAAUGGCCGGGGAGCGGGCAGCAGCUGCCCCGCUCCCUCUGCAGCCUGCCCUGCCAGCCGGGUGAGCGGAAGAAGACGGUGAAGGGCAUGCCCUGCUGCUGGCACUGCGAGCCCUGCACGGGGUACCAGUACCAGGUGGACCGCUACACCUGCAAGACGUGUCCCUACGACAUGCGGCCCACAGAGAACCGCACGGGCUGCCAGCCCAUCCCCAUCAUCAAGCUUGAGUGGGACUCACCCUGGGCCGUGCUGCCCCUCUUCCUGGCUGUGGUGGGCAUCGCUGCCACGCUCUUCGUGGUGGUCACCUUCGUGCGCUACAACGACACGCCCAUCGUCAAGGCCUCGGGCCGCGAGCUGAGUUACGUGCUGCUGGCGGGCAUCUUCCUGUGCUACGCCACCACCUUCCUCAUGAUCGCCGAGCCCGACCUGGGUACCUGCUCUCUGCGCCGGAUCUUCCUGGGGCUCGGCAUGAGCAUCAGCUAUGCGGCCCUCCUCACCAAGACCAACCGCAUCUAUCGCAUCUUCGAGCAGGGCAAGCGGUCGGUCAGCGCCCCGCGCUUCAUCAGCCCUGCCUCGCAGCUGGCCAUAACCUUCAGCCUCAUCUCCCUGCAGCUGCUGGGCAUCUGCGUGUGGUUUGUAGUGGACCCCUCCCAUUCGGUGGUGGACUUCCAGGACCAGCGGACGCUCGACCCCCGCUUCGCCAGGGGCGUGCUCAAGUGUGACAUCUCGGACCUGUCGCUCAUCUGCCUGCUGGGCUACAGCAUGCUGCUCAUGGUCACGUGCACCGUGUACGCCAUCAAGACGCGCGGAGUGCCUGAGACCUUCAACGAGGCCAAGCCCAUCGGCUUCACCAUGUACACCACCUGCAUCGUCUGGCUCGCCUUUAUCCCCAUCUUCUUUGGUACCUCGCAGUCGGCUGACAAGCUGUACAUCCAGACGACGACGCUGACGGUCUCGGUGAGUCUGAGCGCCUCGGUAUCCCUGGGGAUGCUCUACAUGCCCAAGGUCUACAUCAUCCUCUUCCACCCGGAGCAGAACGUGCCCAAGCGCAAGCGCAGCCUCAAAGCCGUCGUCACCGCCGCCACCAUGUCCAACAAGUUCACGCAGAAGGGCAGCCUCCGGCCCAACGGCGAGGCCAAGUCCGAGCUCUGCGAGAACCUGGAAGCUCCAGUGUACCUGGCUUCCAGCACCACCCCCCCCCUUUGAUGGACACCCCUGAUGACUCUGUUGGCCACACCCUCCACCAGAUGACAUCUGGUUCUCUCCAGUCCUGCUCUUUCUCCCAGAGCACCAGCUUCCCUGUACCUACAGCCUGGGAUAUUCCCUUCAGAUGCCAGCACUGGCCACCAAACAGACCUACGUCGCCUACACCAACCAUGCAAUCUAGCUAGGCCACCGGAGCUGCACAGGAGGAGGAGAACAGACCCUUGUGGAUGGUGCGUCGGGCCAGGCCCCCCACCCCAGGGGGGCCCAGCUGAUGUCCUACCUGCCCGUGGGCACCCACGGACGUGGCUUGGUGCUGAAGAUAGCACAGCCCCCAGCGGUCACUGCUGGGUUGCCUGGGCAAGCCGGGCUGGUGA